rnacentral:rRNA from 1 species
GACGAACGCUGGCGGCGUGCUUAACACAUGCAAGUCGAGCGAUGAAACACCUUCGGGUGCGGAUUAGCGGCGAACGGGUGAGGAACACGUGAGGAAUCUGCCUUCCACUCUGGGAUAACUCCGGGAAACCGGGGCUAAUACCGGAUACUUUCAACUGGCGGCAUCGCCGGUUGAAGAAAGUUUUUCGGUGGAAGAUGACCUCGCGGCCUAUCAGCUUGUUGGUGAGGUAAAGGCUCACCAAGGCGACGACGGGUAGCCGGCCUGAGAGGGCGACCGGCCACACUGGGACUGAGACACGGCCCAGACUCCUACGGGAGGCAGCAGUGGGGAAUAUUGGGCAAUGGAGGAAACUCUGACCCAGCGACGCCGCGUGAGGGAUGAAGGCCUUCGGGUUGUAAACCUCUUUCAGCAGGGAAUAAGCGAAAGUGAAGGUACCUGCAGAAGAAGCACCGGCUAAUUCCGUGCCAGCAGCCGCAGUAA